CACACUGGAGAGAUGGCUCUAGUCUGCAGCCCAGGGAACCCACUCCCUCAUUCACACACACGCACACACAGACACACACACACACACACACACAUUCUUGCGCAGAAUAAUCAUUUGAGUUUGUAUACCUGUGAAUGGUAGCGUGUGACAGGGGUGUAAACGUGUGUGUAAAUGUGUGUGUGUUCAAUGCCCAGUGUUUUCGUCAAAGCCGUAGCCCUGGUUCUCCGGAAACUGCCUGUGUGAGAGGGGGAUGUCCUCGUCGAAGCUGGUCUCCCUCAUGCGGGACGGGGCCUG